CGACAGGUCACAGUCCUCUCUCCCUACAGUUUCAGCGUAGGGGACACUUCCUGUCUGCAGCCCUAUGCACACGGAGGCUUCUUCCUGCUGGUCAAAACCCCCAGAACGUACAGCUUCGAGACGAUGGAGCAGCAGCUGUCUGAGCCUCAGGUCCUGACUCCCGACC